UCCUACGGGAGGCAGCAGUGGGGAAUAUUGCACAAUGGGCGCAAGCCUGAUGCAGCAACGCCGCGUGAGGGACGAAGGCCUUCGGGUUGUAAACCUCUUUUAGUAGGGAAGAAGCGACUGGGUCUUCCUGGGAGUGACGGUACCUGCAGAAAAAGCACCGGCUAACUACGUGCCAGCAGCCGCGGUAAUACGUAGGGUGCAAGCGUUGUCCGGAAUUAUUGGGCGUAAAGAGCUCGUAGGCGGUUUGUCGCGUCUGCUGCGAAAACCCGAGGCUCAACCUCGGGCCUGCAGUGGGUACGGGCAGACUAGAGUGCGGUAGGGGAGAUUGGAAUUCCUGGUGUAGCGAUGGAAUGCGCAGAUAUCAGGAGGAACACCAAUGGCGAAGGCAGAUCUCUGGGCCGUAACUGACGCUGAGGAGCGAAAGCAUGGGGAGCGAACAGGAUUAGAUACCCUGGUAGUCCAUGCCGUAAACGUUGGGAACUAGAUGUGGGGACCAUUCCACGGUCUCCGUGUCGCAGCUAACGCAUUAAGUUCCCCGCCUGGGGAGUACGGCCGCAAGGCUAAAACUCAAAGGAAUUGACGGGGGCCCGCACAAGCGGCGGAGCAUGCGGAUUAAUUCGAUGCAACGCGAAGAACCUUACCAAGGCUUGACAUAUACCGGAAACGGCUGGAAACAGUCGCCCCGCAAGGUCGGUAUACAGGUGGUGCAUGGUUGUCGUCAGCUCGUGUCGUGAGAUGUUGGGUUAAGUCCCGCAACGAGCGCAACCCUCGUCCUAUGUUGCCAGCACGUAAUGGUGGGAACUCAUGGGAUACUGCCGGGGUCAACUCGGAGGAAGGUGGGGAUGACGUCAAAUCAUCAUGCCCCUUAUGUCUUGGGCUUCACGCAUGCUACAAUGGCCGGUACAAAGGGCUGCGAUACCGCAAGGUGGAGCGAAUCCCAAAAAGCCGGUCUCAGUUCGGAUUGAGGUCUGCAACCCGACCUCAUGAAGUCGGAGUCGCUAGUAAUCGCAGAUCAGCGACGCUGCGGUGAAUACGUUCCCGGGCCUUGUACACACCGC
rnacentral:rRNA from 1 species